GUCAAAAUCCAUCAAUCCCCUGACAAGCUUUGUACAUCCAAUCCCUCAGCUCUGCAGAAACGGAAACUGGAGAUCGGGGAAGUUAAUUAGCAUGUUCAACGUUACCUGGUUGAGUCUCCACUUCAAGAAUCCAUCUCUUUACACUCACAUACACUGGAAGGAAUUCU